CCUGGCUCACGAUGAACGCUAGCUACAGGCUUAACACAUGCAAGGCGAGGGGCAGCAUUUCAGUUUGCUUGCAAACUGGAGAUGGCGACCGGCGCACGGGUGAGUAACACGUAUCCAACCUGCCGAUAACUCGGGGAUAGCCUUUCGAAAGAAAGAUUAAUACCCGAUGGCAUAAUUAGACCGCAUGGUCUUAUUAUUAAAGAAUUUCGGUUAUCGAUGGGGAUGCGUUCCAUUAGGCAGUUGGUGAGGUAACGGCUCACCAAACCUUCGAUGGAUAGGGGUUCUGAGAGGAAGGUCCCCCACAUUGGAACUGAGACACGGUCCAAACUCCUACGGGAGGCAGCAGUGAGGAAUAUUGGUCAAUGGGCGCAGGCCUGAACCAGCCAAGUAGCGUGAAGGAUGACUGCCCUAUGGGUUGUAAACUUCUUUUAUAUGGGAAUAAAGUUUUCCACGUGUGGAAUUUUGUAUGUACCAUAUGAAUAAGGAUCGGCUAACUCCGUGCCAGCAGCCGCGGUAAUACGGAGGAUCCGAGCGUUAUCCGGAUUUAUUGGGUUUAAAGGGAGCGUAGGUGGAUAGUUAAGUCAGUUGUGAAAGUUUGCGGCUCAACCGUAAAAUUGCAGUUGAUACUGGCUGUCUUGAGUACAGUAGAGGUGGGCGGAUUCGUGGUGUAGCGGUGAAAUGCUUAGAUAUCACGAAGAACUCCGAUUGCGAAGGCAGCUCACUGGACUGCAACUGACACUGAUGCUCGAAAGUGUGGGUAUCAAACAGGAUUAGAUACCCUGGUAGUCCACACAGUAAACGAUGAAUACUCGCUGUUUGCGAUAUACAGUAAGCGGCCAAGCGAAAGCAUUAAGUAUUCCACCUGGGGAGUACGCCGGCAACGGUGAAACUCAAAGGAAUUGACGGGGGCCCGCACAAGCGGAGGAACAUGUGGUUUAAUUCGAUGAUACGCGAGGAACCUUACCCGGGCUUAAAUUGCAUUUGAAUAAUCUGGAAACAGGUUAGCCGUAAGGCAAAUGUGAAGGUGCUGCAUGGUUGUCGUCAGCUCGUGCCGUGAGGUGUCGGCUUAAGUGCCAUAACGAGCGCAACCCUUAUCUUUAGUUACUAACAGGUUAUGCUGAGGACUCUAGAGAGACUGCCGUCGUAAGAUGUGAGGAAGGUGGGGAUGACGUCAAAUCAGCACGGCCCUUACGUCCGGGGCUACACACGUGUUACAAUGGGGGGUACAGAAGGCAGCUACCUGGUGACAGGAUGCUAAUCCCAAAAGCCUCUCUCAGUUCGGAUCGAAGUCUGCAACCCGACUUCGUGAAGCUGGAUUCGCUAGUAAUCGCGCAUCAGCCAUGGCGCGGUGAAUACGUUCCCGGGCCUUGUACACAC
rnacentral:rRNA from 1 species